rnacentral:rRNA from 1 species
CAGUCGCCGCGGGAAUACGGAGGGGGCUAGCGUUGUUCGGAAUUACUGGGCGUAAAGCGCACGUAGGCGGCUUGGUAAGUUAGAGGUGAAAGCCUGGAGCUCAACUCCAGAAUUGCCUUUAAGACUGCCGAGCUAGCAGGUGAGAGAGGUAAGUGGAAUUCCGAGUGUAGAGGUGAAAUUCGUAGAUAUUCGGAAGAACACCAGUGGCGAAGGCGGCUUACUGGCUCAUACUGGACGCUGAGGUGCGAAAGCGUGGGGAGCAAACAGGAUUAGAUACCCCAGUAGUCCCUGUCUCUUAUAC